AGCAAUUGUUUUUUGAUGAGCUAUUCCUUUAAAUUUGACCAUUUUCACCAUAAUCAUCAUCAUUAUGUUCAUAUCUCAUGUCAUGCAGUCAAUAGGAAAGCAGAUUUCAGUCUGAUUAAAGAAUGUAAAACGGUUUGGUUUCUGUGUUAUUUUCAGGUGUAUUUUUAUUGAUUCUCUUUUACGUCACUGCCAAAAGAAAAGCCUUUUCCCUUGUUUCCUUCGCUUGCCUUAAUUAUUGCAUGCCAGAAUUGAGUUUGUUUGAAACACAACCAGCUUUGGUUCUUGUAAGUUACCCACUGUGAAUAAUUAUUUUCAGAACAGACACUCAUAAUAAUAUAGAUAAAUACCACAGCGUAAUCCUGUAUCUGUUGACUUGGUUCACUUUGAGAAGCGUUUUAAUGAUUACUGUGAUCCCGACUUCUCGUUUUCGUUGUGAUAUUUUGUUCAUAGGUGGACACAGUUGUAAGCUUUCUUUUGCCAAAGCAUUUUUAACUGGCCUUUGUAAGAUAUGAACUGACUGAUUCACGACACUUGUGUAAAAAUCAUGUCUUGUUUGCAUUAAAAGUAGAACAAUGAUGAA
rnacentral:lncRNA from 8 species